UACGUAGGGUCCGAGCGUUGUCCGGAAUUAUUGGGCGUAAAGAGCUCGUAGGCGGUUUGUCGCGUCUGCUGUGAAAACCUAAGGCUCAACCUUGGGCUUGCAGUGGGUACGGGCAGACUAGAGUGCGGUAGGGGUGACUGGAAUUCCUGGUGUAGCGGUGAAAUGCGCAGAUAUCAGGAGGAACACCGGUGGCGAAGGCGGGUCUCUGGGCCGAUACUGACGCUGAGGAGCGAAAGCGUGGGGAGCGAACAGG
rnacentral:rRNA from 1 species